AUCAAAUUUGCAGUAGUUGCUUACUUCACUAUCUUCCUUCAUUUUAGCAUAAACAUCAGGAAAAAAUUUCUUCAGAAAUGGCUCCAUAGAGUCUGACAGACCUGAAAUUCCAAUAUCGUAGCCAAAAAUGAGUCCUCCCAUAGCGGCGAUUAUACAGGACGCAACGACGAAUGAAGUGAUUCUGCCAUUGUAUUGCUCUGUUUUGCUUGUAAGGGCUAAUCCGACUGCCAUACCGUAGUCCGGAGCUGAGUUCGAAUCGGAACUAGAAGGAUUAAAAAUAAUAUUUGAAGUUGCAGGUUGCCAAGAAUAGCAGUCUUUCUUGAAAAUUGAUAAAUUAAGAUGUUCAUUGUAGGAUGGUCAAAGUAAACUAUCAUCUACACACUGGAGUGGAGUUGAAUGGAGCACGUGUGUUAGACUUCUGAA